rfam:Beta vulgaris subsp. vulgaris Bvchr6.sca027.con0018.1, whole genome shotgun sequence.
UUACUUACCUGGGCGGGGUCAAUGGGCGAUCAAAAAGGCUCAUGGCCUAGGCAUGUAGCCUCCAUUGCACUUUUGGAGGGAUGCUUGCCUAACAUCUUCCCAAAGAGGAAGAGUGUACGUCAUAAUUUGUGAUAGUGGGGGUCUGCGUUCGCGCAACCCCUAA